rnacentral:rRNA from 1 species
AUUGAACGCUGGCGGCAGGCUUAACACAUGCAAGUCGAGCGGGGUGAUGGUGCUUGCACUAUCACUUAGCGGCGGACGGGUGAGUAAUGCUUAGGAAUCUGCCUAUUAGUGGGGGACAACAUCUCGAAAGGGAUGCUAAUACCGCAUACGUCCUACGGGAGAAAGCAGGGGAUCACUUGUGACCUUGCGCUAAUAGAUGAGCCUAAGUCGGAUUAGUUAGUUGGUGGGGUAAAGGCCUACCAAGGCGACGAUCUGUAGCGGGUCUGAGAGGAUGAUCCGCCACACUGGGACUGAGACAGGGCCCAGACUCCUACGGGAGGCAGCAGUGGGGAAUAUUGGACAAUGGGGGGAACCCUGAUCCAGCCAUGCCGCGUGUGUGAAGAAGGCCUUAUGGUUGUAAAGCACUUUAAGCGAGGAGGAGGCUCUUUUGGUUAAUACCCAAGGUGAGUGGACGUUACUCGCAGAAUAAGCACCGGCUAACUCUGUGCCAGCCGCCGCCGUAAGAC